CUUGUGUUCCUUGACUUGGCCCCAGUGGGAUUCUCAGUCUCCCCACUCUUUACCAUAAGAAAUAGAAGUGCCAGCCUGAAGGGCCCUGAACUCAAAUGACAGCUCCUGAAGCAGCUACUCCCUGUGGAUAACUGUCACACAGGUAUCAUUCAUGUCAAGGCAAAUUCUGGCAUCUCCUAACUACCCCUUUAAAUUUCUAGUUUAUAUUAUUGCCCAUGUAGGACCAGUCCAGUCCAAACCUAUGGUUAAGGACCAUAUCUCUCAGAGCAUCUACUCCAAAGUAGAUCAUCUUGGGAACACUCUGAGUGCUCUGGGGAUACUGAAGACAGAUCCAUCCAGCAUGAUCCCAUGAUCAUAGGUCAUCCCAUGAUCAUAAGUCAUCCCAUGAUCAUAGGUCACGGUUCCAUAAUUAAAAAUCACAACCCAGGGCCACUGGAGAAACCUAGCCAAUAAGUCCCAAGAAGUGACAUGGCUGGGGAGGCAGACCUGGGGGUUUACUGAGGGCUUCUGCUGGUCUAUCUGGGGCUAAUCAUCCAGGGUGGAGUCCUGCUAUCACCAUCUGUCAUGGGUCAGGUGAGGGACCUUAUACAUAUGUCCAGAAGGUGGGCCUAGUAGCCCCCUCGUGUUUAAGCCCUUAUAUGGCUGGGUGUAUUGUGGCUUUGCUGUGAGUUUCUCAAGCCUGAGAUAUGACUUGCCCAUGAAUUAUCUCCAUAUUUGAGGCUGGGCCAGUUGGUCAUGGCCAGGCCUGUGUGAAGUUUUCCACCUUAGCUCCCCUACCCCCAUUAUGAUCCCCUACCCAGGUCACCUGCCCAGAUCUUGAGAACUUGAGCAGUUUUGCCACAACCCUAGCUGAGAAUUGUCUCAGCUCCCAGCAACUUAGGCCUCAUUAACAACAUGGGUCCUCUCAGGUCUAAUAUAUCCUCCCCCAGAAUGCCUCACCCUAGCAGUGUCCUUAUAUUCUAUCUAUCACCACCCCCCCAACCUCUUGGGAUCUAUAUGAGUUAUAUAUUCAAUCCCCCUACUCCAGAUCUCAGCCUGUAAACCACGUCCUCUUUAAAAGACUCCAGACACAGCCCAAACAGACUGUCACCAGAGACCCUACCCCCCUCAGCAACCUAUGGCUGCUAGCAGAUCCUGUAGAUACCCAGAGAGUCCCAGACUUCCACAGAUCUCCUAGGAUCUGCCCUCACCUACAGUUCCAUGCCACAGACCCUUGGAGGCCUCAGACUACAGAUAUGGAUGGGCCAUGAGGGAGCUUUCCUUCUCUAACCUUUUGGCCUCUCUCAUGAAUUCUAGACCCUUCUCCAGCUUCACCACCUACUCCUAAACCACUUUCCUUCUACCUCUCUAUUCCUUCUAAGUCUCUAGCUUCUCCAAGGUAGGGGGUAACAAACACCUACCUUAUGGAUUUAUUGUGAGGAUGACAUUAAUAAUCUGAGAAGUACUUAGUAGAGUGCCUGACACACCUCAAGCCCUGCCUAUGGCAGCUAGUUGUUGAUUACAUGAUUUCUCUGGGUACCUUUCCUCCACCACCACCUCCCGCUGGCUCACCAGGUCCAAGUCUGAGCUCAUCCCUCCUUUACUCCACCCAGCUCUAAGGCUUCCUGCCUCUAGCCAAUACCCACAGCCAUCCAAGAUCCCUCCUUCUCCCUCAAUUCUGUCCAGCCAGCCUCCAAUUCCUGCCACUUGAUUCUCUUCUAUAUCCUGGAUAGUUCUCAACUUGAUUUUUAUUCUCCCUGCCCCCUACUGCCGUUUCU
rnacentral:lncRNA from 1 species